rnacentral:rRNA from 1 species
UGAGCCAAGUUUAGGGUUUCUUAAAAACCCAAAGAUGUUUGAACUGAAGAGUUUGAUCAUGGCUCAGAUUGAACGCUGGCGGCAGGCCUAACACAUGCAAGUCGAGCGGUAGAGAGAAGCUUGCUUCUCUU